UUAGGUAAAUGAUAGCUUAGGUUAAGUUAGGUUAGGUAAAGUUGGGUUAGGUAGAUGAUAGGUUAUGUUAAGUUAGGUUAGGUAGAUGAUAUGUUAGGUUAAGUUAGGUUAGGUAGAUGAUAUGUUAGGUUAAGUAAGGUUAGGUAGAUGAUAUGUUAGGUUAAGUUAGGUUAGGUAGAUGAUAUGUUAGGUUAAGUUAGGUUAGGUAGAUGAUAGGUUAGGUUAAGUUAGGUUAGGUAGAUGAUAGGUUAGGUUAAGUUAGGUUAGGUAGAUGAUAGGUUAGGUUAAGUUAGGUUAGGUAGAUGAUAGGUUAGGUUAAGUUAGGUUAGGUAGAUGAUAGGUUAGGUUAAGUUAGGUUAGGUAGAUGAUAGGUUAGGUUAAGUUAGGUUAGGUAGAUGAUAGGUUAGGUUAAGUUAGGUUAGGUAGAUGAUAGGUUAGGUUAAGUUAGGUUAGGUAGAUGAUAGGUUAGGUUCUGAUAGUGACCAAACAAGAAAAUGAAAAAAAAGGAGGAAAAAAAUAGCAAUUAUAUACCCACCCAAAACAAAAAGG